GUGUUGUAUGGAAAGAAGGUUAGCAACCCCCUUGACAAGGAUGGAAGACGCCCUCGAGCCUGACAGCACGCGUACGAUUAAGGCAUUGCCACCUAAUCCGUGCCAUCUAACCAUCAUUUUUA
ensembl:snRNA